AUAAUAGCUGUGAACAGGAAGAGUAACUGUGUGUACUGCAGUUCAGCGAGUCGGUGACCGAUUUACGGAGGUGGAAUGACCGACCUGGAGAGCAUAGUGAAUGGUCCUGUGAGCUGCCCACCGAACGAUUUCCAGUAGGCUGGGCCGGCUGCUGCCGUUAACAAGCUAGGGUAUCGGAGCCGUAUAGGUAUCCCGUACCUGAAUAAAGAAGAAAAACCUUUCAAGUUUUUCAAUUAGGGUGGUACCGCGAGCUAUUUCGCCCCUGUA
rnacentral:ncRNA from 1 species